rnacentral:misc_RNA from 1 species
GCAAACAUUGAUGGUGUCAACCAGGUAUGGCUUAAUCAUUUUGAUAUUAUGCUACCUAGGACUUUUGAUUUAUCUGCUCAAUGUAGCAUUGCCCUCUAGCUCAGAAUUCCAUAUCAUUACUCUCAUGCAUUUACCAGAAUAUGAUUUCUACUUUACAAAUUUGAUGACCUUUUCUUACUGGUAUUUGGGGGAUUCAUCUUUCAACUCUUAGUACUGCUGAAUAUGUUAAUUAUCUGGAUUAGUGCUUAUACAUGAAAUGCCAAUUGACAUUUUUUGGAGUAGUGAUUUGCUCCUGCUACUCUCUGAAAUUCAAGCUGGAAUUGAAUUUGUCACUGUCUCCCCUUUUGUAUUUGCAAUCUACCUUCAUUUGUGAAUUGUAAUUCAGAUUUGAAUAAUUUAUGCUCGAUUAUGUAGAGUAGAUUAUACGUUGAACAGCUGGAUUCCAAAGGAUUGGAUGAUUGUUGGAAAAUAGUGAGUUGGGGAAUCUUUUUAAAAGGGCAAAGGAGUUAUUUCAUGGGCCAUGCUGUAAUAGGAUGCAACUAAUUGGUGCAUAUCAGUUGUGUGCCCACACAACUUACCAUAAAGCACCUGCCAGUGUUAUAUGUUGGUCAUUAGUUGUUCCUAGCAUAAAAUUAGACACAUUGAUGAGGAAUUUUAUCAUAAAAUGGC